rnacentral:tRNA from 1 species
GAGGGUAUAGCUCAGUGGUAGAGUGCAUACCUAGCAUGCAUUGAGGCCCUGGGUUCAAUCCCCAGUACCUCCA